GCCUUCAUGGUGCCGUCCGGGGUUACCUGCCUUGGCCCUGUGCUCCCCGCCCCUAAGAUGACUGCGCAGCGCGGCAGCCCCCGCCGCGAUCCCGCCCUCAAGCGGCCGCCGUAGCGUCCAUAGCAACCAGCGCCACGCGCAGGGGGCGCGCACCCACCGAGCAACUUGAGCGGGGACUGCCUUUCAGUAAUCUUCUUCAUCAUGACGCGCUCCUGCACCGCAAGCGGCUCCUUAGGCUUGUUCGCAGACCCCGAGAAUGCCCCGGUCAGACUCUUGACGUCACAGGAGGCGCUAAAGAGCGCCAAGGCGUCAUCGACUGGGCCUGACAAAGGGUUGCUGUAGGAACUGGCCGAAGCUGAGUGACUGGAAUGGGGACAGUAGCAACCUCGGCCGCCAUAGGAUCUCCCACCUAGACUCCCCAGAUGUUUCUGCUCUGGGUCACCGCUUGCUGACCAGUCUUCAGGCUUCCGGCACGCUCAUCUCACACCAGGCUGACCAUGCAUUGACUACUUUUCCUAGUUUAAGUGCCCCAGACUCCGCCUCCACCGGCCUGUCAUCUGCCCUGCCCACUAAUCAGCCAUCACUUCCUAGGCCAGUCAGACUUUUACCAGAUUUGGGGUCUUUGCAUAGACAUGCUGCCUUUGGUUCUCGUGAAGAUGUACUUUCCCGUUACCUCACAUUUCUAAGUGUAUCCACGUCAUUCCUUCCUUCCUUUAUUCAUUUUUACCCAGAGCUCUAAAGCAUUCAGAAAUUAUCAGGUUUGUUUCUGAGGUUGGAUCCCUCUCCAGGACUACUACAAACUCCUCUCGACCUCGCUCCCUGUGACUGGACACAUGCUCCAAGGGCAGCCUCCCUUCUCAGUCACACUCACAGCAUCUCUGGUUCAGUUCACUUCAGGGACACUUGGGGCGGCAUUUAGGACACUCCAGGGAGAUGCUCUGUCACCUGUGUCCUCCAAGGGACAGGUUAUGAAAAUGAGGUAUGGGGGGUUAGGGAGUGCGCGUUGGAGCUACUGUUUCUUUGAGAAAUGUGGUGUGCAUGAAUGACAGACUGAGUUGUGGAGAAGGAAAGAGCUUCUAGCAGCAAAACGGCAGGCUACGUGACAACCUCCCCGAGGAGGGCUCAUGGUUUUUGUUUUUCUCCUUUUCUUUUUAAAGAUAUUUCUUUUAACCCAUGUUAUCCUCAGACUUUACUACUACAGCUAAGGCAGGGGUUAAUCCAGAUCCUUCUAUCUAACUCCCAACAGUGAGCCUACAGAUGUGCUGCAUCUCCAAGCAUGGGUAAAUGAAACUUUGUUUGGUUCUGUUUUCCAACACUGGAAAUUGAACUCAGGGCCUUGUACACACUAGGCAAGUGUUCUGUCAUUGAGCUAGUCCCUAGCUGGUAUGGUUUGUCAAGGGAAGGUAUGUAGGUACCAGGCAGGUAGUCACUUCAAUUGUGCAAUGCUUAAAAACAAAAAUAGCCCUUCCGGAAUGUGGUGGGUUCUACAUCUUAUCUCUUGCUCAGGGUGGUGAGAGCAGUAGACUAGUGUGGAUCUAAAGAAGACCUCCCACUUGGGAGAUAAAGGCAAGAGGAUUAGAAGUUCAAGGUCAUCCGGUGCUACACAGAGGAUUUUAGACCAGUGUGGGCUAUAUAAAACCAUGUC
rnacentral:lncRNA from 1 species